rnacentral:rRNA from 1 species
AACGAACGCUGGCGGCAUGCCUAACACAUGCAAGUCGAACGAAACCUUCGGGUCUAGUGGCGCACGGGUGCGUAACGCGUGGGAACCUGCCCUUAGGUUCGGAAUAACUCCCCGAAAGGGGUGCUAAUACCGGAUAAUGUCUUCGGACCAAAGAUUUAUCGCCUUUGGAUGGGCCCGCGUUGGAUUAGCUAGUUGGUAGGGUAAAAGCCUACCAAGGCGACGAUCCGUAGCUGGUCUGAGAGGAUGAUCAGCCACACUGGGACUGAGACACGGCCCAGACUCCUACGGGAAGCAGCAGUGGGGAAUAUUGGACAAUGGGCGAAAGCCUGAUCCAGCAAUGCCGCGUGAGUGAUGAAGGCCUUAGGGUUGUAAAGCUCUUUUACCCGGGAUGAUAAUGACAGUACCGUGAGAAUAAGCCCCGGCUAACUCCGUG